ensembl:misc_RNA 7SK 7SK RNA
GGAUGUGAGGGUGAUCUGGCUGUGACAUCUAUCAUCCUUAUUGAUCUCCAGAGUCGAUUCAGCUGACCUAGCUGGCUAGGCGGGUGUCCCCUUCCUCCCUCACCACUCCAUGUGCGUCCCUCCCAAAGCUGUGCGCUUGGUCAAAAAGAACAACCAUCCCCAGUAGAGGAGGACCGUUCUUCUCAGUCAAGGGUAUAUGAGGAGCUGCACUCCCCUGCUAGAACCUCCAAACAAGCUCUCAAGAACAAUAUUUUCCAUUUCAAAAUCAUACAAUAAUAUCAAGUUAGUU